GUGUUCAUGGUGUACGGGUUGUGCACGCCAGAUUGUGGCUCUGGAGGUUCGGGUUCGACUCCCGGUGAUCACCC
rnacentral:tRNA from 1 species